GUCACUUAGGAGUCUUGUUAAAAUGCAGAUUCUCAGUUGGUAAAUCUAAAGUGGGACCUGAGAUUCUGCAUUUCUAACAAGCUCCCAGGUGAUGCCAA
rnacentral:pre_miRNA from 1 species